rnacentral:rRNA from 1 species
AUUGAACGCUGGCGGCCUGCUUUACACAUGCAAGUCGGACGAGUGGCGAACGGGUGAGUAACGCAUCGGAACCUACCGCUUAGUGGGGGAUCACUGUCCGAAAGGACCUCUAAUACCGCAUAUUAUUUGAGUGGCCGAUGUCUGAUUAGCGGGUUGGCGGGGUAAAGGCCCACCAAGGCGACGAUCCGUAGCGGGUCUGAGAGUAUGAUCCGCCACACUGGGAGUGAGACACGGCCCAGACUCCUACGGGAGGCAGCAGUGGGGAAUUUUGGACAAUGGGCGCAAGCCUGAUGCAGCCAUGCCGCGUGUCUGAAGAAGGCCUUCGGGUUGUAAAGGACUUUUGUCAGGGAAGCGGUACCUGAAGAAUAAGCACCGGCUAACUACGUGCCAGCAGCCGCGGUAAUAC